rnacentral:misc_RNA from 1 species
UUUCCGUAGGUGAACCUGCGGAAGGAUCAUUAUUGGAUUUUGAAACUUCAGGCUGCUGCUGGCUCUCCUCGGAGGGCAUGUGCACGCUUGUUGUCCAUUAUUUCUCCCACUGUGCACAAAUUGUAGACCUUUCAGUAGGCCUAUGUUGUUUUUCACAAUCUCUGAAUGUAAUAGAAUGGUUUUGAAUCUGGGAAAUACAAUACAACUUUCAGCAACGGAUCCCUUGGCUCUCACAUCGAUGAAGAACGCAGC